UUGUCUUCCUUAUUCUGUACCACAGGUUAGUACAAAGUAGAGAUAAUUUAUAUUUUAACAAUUGUAAAAAGUUUAGAAAGUUGCUAGAGUAAACAGCUAACUGCUAAAUGUUUGUUACAAAAUGUGUUGUAGAGCAUUUGAACAUUAGCGAAAUGGCUAAUGGCUAAUGCUAGCCAGCUUUAAUGUACAGUUAAUAGCAUGAAGCAGGCUAACUAAAAAAUGUGAAAUGUGUCAAAUUGGUCAUUGUUGAUGUAAUAAUUUUAUGAUAUCUGAAGUGUUGUUAUUUUUGAGAGGAAGAAUAAAUCCUGAGGGUGAAAAAACAUCAAGUCAUCGUGGAUUGUCUUCCUUAUUCUGUACCACAGGUUAGUACAAAGUAGAGAUAAUUUAUAUUUUAACAAUUGUAAAGAGUUUAGAAAGUUGCUACAGUAAACAGCUAACUGCUAAAUGUUUGUUACAAAAUAUGUUGUAGAGCAUUUGAACAUAAGCAAAAUGGCUAAUGCUAGCCAGCUUUAAUGUACAGUUAAUAGCAUGAAGCAGGCUAACUAAAAAAUGUCAAAUGUGUCAAAUUGGUAAUUGUUAAUGUAAUAAUUUUAUGAUAUCUGAAGUGUUGUUAUUUUUGAGAGGAAGAAUAAAUCCUGAGGGUGAAAAAACGUCAAGUCAUCGUGGAUUGUCUUCCUUAUUCUGUACCACAGGCUAGUACAAAGUAGAGAUAAUUUAUAUUUUAACAAUUGUAAAGAGUUUAGAAAGUUGCUAGAGUAAACAGCUAACUGCUAAAUGUUUGUUACAAAAUGUGUUGUAGAGCAUUUGAACAUUAACAAAAUGGCUAAUGCUAAUGCUAGCCAGCUUUAAUGUACAGUUAAUAGCAUGAAGCAGGCUAACUAAAAAAUGUGAAAUGUGUCAAAUUGUUAAUUGUUAAUGUAAUCAUUUUAUGAUAUCUGAAGUGUUGUUAUUUUUGAGAGGAAGAAUAAAUCCUGAGGGUGAAAAAACGUCAAGUCAUCGUGGAUUGUCUUCCUUAUUCUGUACCACAGGUUAGUACAAAGUAGAGAUAAUUUAUAUUUUAACAAUUGUAAAGAGUUUAGAAAGUUGCUAGAGUAAACAGCUAACUGCUAAAUGUUUGUUACAAAAUGUGUUGUAGAGCAUUUGAACAUUAGCGAAAUGGCUAAUGCUAGCCAGCUUUAAUGUACAGUUAAUAGCAUGAAGCAGGCUAACUAAAAAAUGUGAAAUGUGUCAAAUUGUUAAUUGUUAAUGUAAUCAUCUUAUGAUAUCUGAAGUGUUGUUAUUUUUGAGAGGAAGAAUAAAUCCUGAGGGUGAAAAAACGUCAAGUCAUCAUGGAUUGUCUUCCUUAUUCUGUACCACAGGAUUUUCAAGGCAUACAACCCCUCCAGGUGGUGGAGGAGCAACAAUAACAAUGAUGACUAUGCGGCAAAGCGGCCAACACGCAGCACUACUGUAGCUGAGCACGAGUUCUGCUGCUAUUUUCGGGCCGGGUUCUACAAUGUGACAUUGAAGUGGCUCAAUUGAAGCAGCGAUACUGUGACUGUGGGAGGCGUGUGGAGGUGGAUGAAUCACUCUGCAAAGAGCUGGGCAGGUGAUACAGGCAAUACGGGCGAUACAGGUGAUAUCAACAAGCAUUGGGGCUUACGUGAGCGAGACGGUGAAGUGGAAGCGUUGACGGAGGCCCUUGAAGCACUUAUCUGGCUGAAAGACGCAAGGUGAGCGCUUUGAUGGAAUCCAAUACAACACUUGAUUCCAACACAAGGAAUAAAGGCGCAUGAGGGGCCGUGGCUGGCAGGAUGACAGCUUCCACACCCCACUAAUGGGUGAAUACAGCUUCAAACUGCUUUCACUGGAAGAAAAAAAAAAAAUCUGCCCACUUUCACCCACUCACACAUUCAUUUCGCGCUUUGGCCCUCCUCCCUCCUGUUGAAAGCACCCACAGUUCAGCUCCGGCACCCACAGUUGUGCACGAGAACAUGUGAGUGCCACUCAACCUGGUGAUAGAGCCCCGCCCACACACACACGGAUGCUAUGUCAGGUGAUGGAAAAUUAAACCUCAUUUAUUUCAUUAGGGACGUCCGUAAUAUGAGCUGACCAAUAUUUUCGGUCGACAUCGGCAUAAAAAUUU